rnacentral:rRNA from 1 species
CAGCCGCCGCGGUAAUACGGAGGGUGCAAGCGUUAAUCGGAAUUACUGGGCGUAAAGCGUGCGUAGGCGGUUCGUUAAGUCUGUUGUGAAAGCCCCGGGCUCAACCUGGGAAUGGCAAUGGAUACUGGCGAGCUAGAAUGUGUCAGAGGAUGGUGGAAUUCCCGGUGUAGCGGUGAAAUGCGUAGAGAUCGGGAGGAACAUCAGUGGCGAAGGCGGCCGUCUGGGACAACACUGACGCUGAGGCACGAAAGCGUGGGGAGCAAACAGGAUUAGAUACCCGCGUAGUCCCUGUCUCUUAUAC